ensembl:lncRNA
UACCUGGAUGUGUGGCUGGGGCAAGCUUUUCUUUUAGAAUGAGAUAAUUUCAUCCCGCCCCCAUGGCUUUGGGAAAUCUCAGAACUGGGGUCAGAAGUCUGUUUGCCAACUUCAGCAUCUGCCCAUGUACAGCUCCUGCAGCACAGCAUUUGUCUUUCUUUGCAAACCCUCUUGCAGAGCCACGUGGCUCUGUUGACAACCUAAAUGUCUUUUUGUGGUUUGCUAAGGUUAAGUGGCCCUUUCCACGGAGGAUUGUUAUUUGGCAUUAGGAAUGCAUGCUCUGAAGGUUGAGGCCAGCUGUCCUGGGACACGGCGCCUGCUAGCUUCCACACCUCUGCUGCAGCAGAGGCAGCCUGGGCCUGGGGAUGCCUGCAGACCUCCUCAGUGGCUCCCUUGUCUUCUCACCUCAGCACCUUUGAGCUUGGGACCUGUCACACCCUUUGAGCCACCGGGGCUGCCUCUGGCAGUGGGAGAUCAGAGGCUUCCAGGAGGGGUCUCCUGCUGAGGGACCCAUGUGCUGACUGAGACCCAGCCCCAGGGCCACAGGCAACGUCAGCCAACCACUCCAGGGAAGGACUCCCCAUGGGACUUUUGACAGCCAUAUUCCCCCUUCCUUCCCCAGACCCCGGUGGCCAGGGCUUGGGAGAUGCCUCCCUGUGGCUCAUGGGCCUCUGGCUUGCAGCAGCCGCCACCCGGCCACGGGCCCCUGACACUGACUUGUGUCCAGCAUCUUUGACUUAUUUUUCCCCCAUGAAAAGCAGCAUGAAUAUUUCCUUCUAGUCUUUCUGAAGAGGGGAGGAAAAACUGUUCAUGUGUGUGUGCGUGUGCAUGUGUGUUGAGUGAGAGAACACUCAGAGGUCGUGCCCAGGAUAAGGUGAGCCCCUGCUUUGUCCUGGAUCUGCCGGCACACUGAGGACAGCCUGGACCCUCUGCCCAGGCGUCUAACUCGGGAAAGGCUGCCAAGUCUUUCUAGAAAUGCUCUGUGCUGCCUGGCUCGUCUGCAGUGGCAGAUGCCUCUUCAGAGGCAGGGUGUGUGCCUGCUGCUCCUUCCGGGGCACCUGCCUCCUCCAGUGCAGGUCUGCGGCGUGUCAGAACCCUAAUGCAUCUGUGUGUGUGUCUGUGUCGGUGUCUGUGUCGCUGUACUCGUGGGCGUCUGCACGGUACGGUCGCUGCUCUGCAGUGCAUCACUCUUUCAGAGAGGGUGUAGAUGUGGCGCCAUGCUGCGUGUCAUUGUUCAACUGUGGCUUUUUCUUAGAUAAUUGUGCUUCCUCAGCGCCGUCGGGUUGUGGCAUCCUUGGAUCUGCAAGGACCUUCUCCGUUUGCAUGUUCCUUGCGGUGGCGUGUUCCUUGCUCCCUCGGUCCAACGUGUGUUCCCCUGCCUGCAUGGACUUUUCCAGUUCUGUGUCAUGUGCUGAGUGCCACCCAGUAUUCUGUGACCACCCAUGUAGCUACCGAAAAUGUCUGGGUAAGUAAGCCAGGGUUGUUGGAGGGGGCUGAGAGAGGCCAGUGUCCCUCUCCCCCCACCCCAAACACGCCAAGAAGCGACUCUAACAUGUAGGUUGAGAACAAGCCCCAGUGAUACCGUGGUUGGGAGAACGAGAGCUUGGAAUCACCUUUCCAGACUGGGUCGAGCCCCACCCUCACUCCAGCCACCUGGGAGCCAUUCUUGGCUGGGCCCAGAGCGCCUGUGCCCAGUGCGCUCCUGCUGGCACCUGCCACCAGCCCCUGCCCCUGCGGACACGGACCCCAGACCACCGCCGCCUCGUGGCAAGGUGGGAGCUGUCCGUUCAGGACCACAAGCCAUCCUCUGCCCUAGCUAGAGAGGGCGGAGCACACCCCAGAUGCUUAUGCCUUCGACCCUUCAGCCUCCCAGCCCCUUCCCCAUCCUUCCCCUGCCCCCUGACGCACCCACGGUGCCCGGGACAGAAGCUGACUUUUAGCUCUCGCCCUAGCCCUAACUGGAGUCUGUGCCAAGGUCCUCAGCUCCCUCACUGUGUUCAUACUUGGCACUUUGCUGGCCCGAGAAAGGCAGACGACAGAGCAGCAAAUCUAAUCCACAUAGUUCCCAUUGACUCCUUAAUCUGAUUGAUGUUCCCUCUUGCACUGAAUAAUACAUGCCUCUCUCAGAUUCCCAGUUUAUUUUGUAAGACCGCAAAGAUCUCUUUGUCACCAGCCCUGGGACCUGAGACCAAGGGGUGUCUUGUGGCAGCGAGGGCAGGGGAGAGGCUUGGCAUGAGGUCCGAAGUCCUUGCAGCAAGCUCCAGCGAGGGCCCACCUGUUCUGAAGGUGCGCUGGGGACCAGGAGGCCCGAAAGGCUGCUCUGGGUGGGCCCUUUGUCUGGGAGCAGAUCGGUGAUGGGGGAUGGGCCGAGGGUUUGGAUGUCACUUCCAACCUGGUUAGAAGCCGUGAGGAUGGAGGACUCUGUGACCUCGGCGCCACCACCGUGUGGCUGGAAGGAGUCGUGGUUUUGUCUCUUCAAACAGCACGUAAAUUUAUUCCGCCAACGACGGGAAUCUAUCGCUUCUGUGCACAGUGGGCUGAAGUACGAUUUAUUAAAAGGGGAACAAGUCAUUGAGGAGAAAAAAAAGCCCAAUACUUAGAGUCCCAAUUUUGUCUUAUUUGCCAAAAAAAAAAGCAAACCCCUCAAGUUGAUAUUGUUACAAUGUAUAUACUGUAAAAUAUGAAAGAGAAUUGAUGUAUCUUACUUUUUCAUUAUUUGCUAACCAAAGCUGUACAUUUUUCAUAUGAUCUGCAGCCUUUUGGGUAUCAAAUGGGUCAAAACCAUGGGACCUGCCACCUCCCAUCAGCAGUUCUGGAAAUGCACUAUUUCUACUGGUAUUCUUGCUUUCUUUUUUCUUUUUUCAUUUUCUUG